AUUGAACGCUGGCGGCAGGCCUAACACAUGCAAGUCGAGCGGAUGAAGGGAGCUUGCUCCUGGAUUCAGCGGCGGACGGGUGAGUAAUGCCUAGGAAUCUUCCUGGUAGUGGGGGAUAACGUCCGGAAACGGGCGCUAAUACCGCAUACGUCCCGAGGGAGAAAGUGGGGGAUCUUCGGACCUCACGCUAUCAGAUGAGCCUAGGUCGGAUUAGCUAGUUGGUGGGGUAAAGGCCUACCAAGGCGACGAUCCGUAACUGGUCUGAGAGGAUGAUCAGUCACACUGGAACUGAGACACGGUCCAGACUCCUAAGGGAGGCAGCAGUGGGGAAUAUUGGACAAUGGGCGAAAGCCUGAUACAGCCAGGCAGCGUGUGUGAAGAAGGUCUUCGGAUUGUAAAGCACUUUAAGUUGGGAGGAAGGGCAGUAAGUUAAUAAAUUGCUGUUUUGACGUUACCAACAGAAUAAGCACCGGCUAACUUCGUG
rnacentral:rRNA from 1 species